CUUAACACAUGCAAGUCGAGGGGCAUCAGGACUAUAGCUUGCUUUCUUUGCUGGCGACCGGCGCACGGGUGAGUAACACGUAUCCAACCUGCCCUUUACUCGGGGAUAGCCUUUCGAAAGAAAGAUUAAUACCCGAUGGCAUAAUGAUUCCGCAUGGUUUCAUUAUUAAAGGAUUCCGGUAAAGGAUGGGGAUGCGUUCCAUUAGGUUGUUGGUGAGGUAACGGCUCACCAAGCCUUCGAUGGAUAGGGGUUCUGAGAGGAAGGUCCCCCACAUUGGAACUGAGACACGGUCCAAACUCCUACGGGAGGCAGCAGUGAGGAAUAUUGGUCAAUGGGCGCUAGCCUGAACCAGCCAAGUAGCGUGAAGGAUGAAGGCUCUAUGGGUCGUAAACUUCUUUUAUAUAAGAAUAAAGUGCAGUAUGUAUACUGUUUUGUAUGUAUUAUAUGAAUAAGGAUCGGCUAACUCCGUGCCAGCAGCCGCGGUAAUACGGAGGAUCCGAGCGUUAUCCGGAUUUAUUGGGUUUAAAGGGAGCGUAGGUGGACUGGUAAGUCAGUUGUGAAAGUUUGCGGCUCAACCGUAAAAUUGCAGUUGAUACUGUCAGUCUUGAGUACAGUAGAGGUGGGCGGAAUUCGUGGUGUAGCGGUGAAAUGCUUAGAUAUCACGAAGAACUCCGAUUGCGAAGGCAGCUCACUGGACUGCAACUGACACUGAUGCUCGAAAGUGUGGGUAUCAAACAGGAUUAGAUACCCUGGUAGUCCACACAGUAAACGAUGAAUACUCGCUGUUUGCGAUAUACAGUAAGCGGCCAAGCGAAAGCAUUAAGUAUUCCACCUGGGGAGUACGCCGGCAACGGUGAAACUCAAAGGAAUUGACGGGGGCCCGCACAAGCGGAGGAACAUGUGGUUUAAUUCGAUGAUACGCGAGGAACCUUACCCGGGCUUAAAUUGCAGUGGAAUGAUGUGGAAACAUGUCAGUGAGCAAUCACCGCUGUGAAGGUGCUGCAUGGUUGUCGUCAGCUCGUGCCGUGAGGUGUCGGCUUAAGUGCCAUAACGAGCGCAACCCUUAUCUUCAGUUACUAACAGGUCAUGCUGAGGACUCUGGAGAGACUGCCGUCGUAAGAUGUGAGGAAGGUGGGGAUGACGUCAAAUCAGCACGGCCCUUACGUCCGGGGCUACACACGUGUUACAAUGGGGGGUACAGAAGGCAGCUAGCGGGUGACCGUAUGCUAAUCCCAAAAGCCUCUCUCAGUUCGGAUCGAAGUCUGCAACCCGACUUCGUGAAGCUGGAUUCGCUAGUAAUCGCGCAUCAGCCACGGCGCGGUGAAUACGUUCCCGGGCCUUGUACACACCGCCCGUCAAGCCAUGGGAGCCGGGGGUACCUGAAGUACGUAACCAACAAGGAUCGUCCUAGGGUAAAACUGGUGACUGGGGCUAAGU
rnacentral:rRNA from 1 species